AUUAGGACACUUUCAACGCAGCUGCAUUUAAUUUCAGUGUAAAGGAAUUAAAUAGGGGGUUUGAACCCAAUUUGCCGAACAUAUCUUAGGAAAUUUGAUCUGUGCAGUUUGAUUUCAACUGUUAAAAAGUCUGACGACGAGCUUCAUUUUCAAAUGUGGAAAAGUCCAAUACCAUCACGUUUGGGCAUUAUAAUACAGCU
rnacentral:lncRNA from 1 species